rnacentral:rRNA from 1 species
GAUGAACGCUAGCUACAGGCUUAACACAUGCAAGUCGAGGGGCAGCAUGAAAGGAACUUCGGUUCUUUUUGAUGGCGACCGGCGCACGGGUGCGUAACGCGUAUCGAACCUGCCUCAUACUCGGGGAUAGCCUUGCGAAAGUAAGAUUAAUACCCGGCGGUCUCGGAUGGCCGCAUGACUGUCCGAGUGAAGAUUUAUCGGUAUGAGAUGGCGAUGCGUCCCAUUAGCUUGUUGGUGAGGUAACGGCUCACCAAGGCAUCGAUGGGUAGGGGUUCUGAGAGGAAGGUCCCCCACAUUGGAACUGAGACACGGUCCAAACUCCUACGGGAGGCAGCAGUGAGGAAUAUUGGUCAAUGGACGAAAGUCUGAACCAGCCAAGUAGCGUGCAGGAAGACGGCCCCCUGGGUUGUAAACUGCUUUUAGUUGGGAAUAAAAAGAGGGACGUGUCCCUUAUUGUAUGUACCAUCAGAAAAAGGACCGGCUAAUUCCGUGCCAGCAGCCGCGGUAAUACGGAAGGUCCAGGCGUUAUCCGGAUUUAUUGGGUUUAAAGGGAGCGCAGGCGGCGGCGUAAGUCAGUUGUGAAAUCGUGCGGCUUAACCGUGCAAUUGCAGUUGAUACUGCGUCGCUUGAGUGCACACAGGGAUGUUGGAAUUCAUGGUGUAGCGGUGAAAUGCUUAGAUAUCAUGAAGAACUCCGAUCGCGAAGGCAUAUGUCCGGAGUGCAACUGACGCUGAGGCUCGAAAGUGUGGGUAUCAAACCAGG